CAGAGACCCUCCUGCCUCUGCCUCCUGGGCUCCACCAUCCGGAGAGCUUCCCCAGGAAAGGCUUCGUGCUGCAGUGGUGGGUGGUGGAGAUUGGAGGAGGAGAGCCACCACCAUUUUGUGCAGAGUCUUGACAAGCUGCACGAGAACCGAGUACCUCACCCUGGACAAAGGAUAAUAAUGAUGGGCGGAAAGACUAGGAAACAUGGAAAGCACACAUUUGUGAAGAUGAGCCUUGGGAAGGGAAGAUACUUCUAUUUGCCCAUGGAGACCGUUGAUCUCUAAAAUAAACACCGACUACUGUCCAGCUGCAUGCAGGCUUCACUAAUGCUGUGUCUGGUGCCUAUAAAAAUCUACACUCUCCUACUUGGCCUGUCAUUCCAGUGGUGAGCAGAUAGAGGCCUGGCACACCCUUCAAGAUCUGUGGAACUGGUGCGUGCAGACAGCUCCUCCCAGUCCGGGAGAGGCAGCCGCCAGGUGGCAGCGCUGAGCCUGCCUGAGCAUGCAGCGACGUGGGAAAACGUGGGGGAAGAUCCAACCGUCCCUUCCUGGUCUCCUGAACCAGUGAACCCCCAACACUUCUCCGGGUUUCAAGGACCGGUGGGUGUGCUGGUGAAUUCUGG
rnacentral:lncRNA from 1 species